UCCUGGCUCAGGAUGAACGCUGGCGGCGUGCCUAACACAUGCAAGUCGAGCGAUUCUCUUCGGAGAAGAGCGGCGGACGGGUGAGUAACGCGUGGGUAACCUGCCUCAUACACAUGGAUAACAUACCGAAAGGUAUGCUAAUACAGGAUAACAUAAGAGAUUCACAUGGAUUUCUUAUCAAAGCUCCGGCGGUAUGAGAUGGACCCGCGUCUGAUUAGCUAGUUGGUAAGGUAACGGCUUACCAAGGCGACGAUCAGUAGCCGACCUGAGAGGGUGAUCGGCCACAUUGGAACUGAGACACGGUCCAAACUCCUACGGGAGGCAGCAGUGGGGAAUAUUGCACAAUGGGCGAAAGCCUGAUUGCAGCGACGCCGCGUGAGUGAUGAAGGCCUUCGGGUCGUAAAACUCUGUCCUCAAGGAAGAUAAUGACGGUACUUGAGGAGGAAGCCCCGGCUAACUACGUGCCAGCCGCGGC
rnacentral:rRNA from 1 species